UUGCUUCAGCAGCAUGCAUGCUAAAAUUGGAAUGAUACAGAGAAGAUUAGUUUGGCCUCUGUAAAAAUAUGUAUUUUUUCUUUUAUAAAUUUUUUUU
ensembl:snRNA U6 U6 spliceosomal RNA